GAGGGUAUAGCUCAGUGGUAGAGUGCACGCCAAGCCCGCAUUAGGUCCUGGGUUCAAUCCCCAGGACCUUCA
rfam:Camelus ferus unplaced genomic scaffold scaffold576, whole genome shotgun sequence.